GCUAAAUUAGAAGGUAAGCUCUCCCUCCCUUUCACCAACUCCUAUUGCACUACUAAACAGCCACAUAUAACCCAGAACUUGCAACAUGAUACAUCUUGCAAGAGUCGUAAGUCCUGGGUAUGUUAUCUGCAUUACGUUAAGGUUCGUAUGGUAGCAGUGCCCUUUUUAGAGCUCCUGCAAAACCUGAUUCAGUGCCUUGUUCUUCUUUAAUACAUGAACAGCAAUCAUAUUUACAGUCUGUCCCCUUAGGGAAGGAAUCAAAAGGGAAAACCUCACCAGAAGAGGAGGGAAAAACAACAACAACAACAACAAAAACUGGAAGAAUUUCAGAGGCAAGUAGAAGAGAAGUGGCACUGUAACUGUUCCCAGUGUGUUUGAAUGAGAAUCAUUGCAUCCUCCAGUUUAACAUCCUGCCUGCAAACUCACCAACUACUGGCCAAGAGGAGACUUUGGGAGUGCUCAAGAUUCCACUUCACUCAGAGCUACCAGUUUCCAUAUUUUCUUGCCUGUGAUAUCAGACUUAAUGCUUUUCGAAGUCCCUCCUUCUGAAGGUUUUGAGGAACCCUGAAGCUAGAAGGUACAGUUCAUUUUAUAUUUGGAUAGAGCUAUCAUACUAGCGCUGUGCUGGAACUCAUCAAUGGAGCAAUAAAGUAAUCACACGCACCUCUCCACUACCAGUUUCAUUUGAACUUUCUGUCAUUUCCCCUCCUUCCCUUCCUCUGAAGUUCUGCCUCUGCCAGUAUUUCCUGUUUCUGGUUUGCCCUUAUCUCAAGAACUAUGCUUUAUGGAACCGAAUUGACCUGCACUACACCAUCCCACAUCACCCAUCGCAAAUCUACCCACUGACCCCAGCCAUACACCACAACUGCACCCCUGCAUCCCACACAAACCACUCUCCCCUCCUGAACUUAGGAAAAGGACAAAAUAUAUCCGGAGUAUACACAGGGUGUAAUCAAGCACUCUACCCUCUGCUACCCUGUUAUAGCUGGAUCAAAGCCCUCCAGGAACUCUCCCUUUGCAGUUGUUUGAUAGUCAGAUCAACGUGAGUGGGCAGUGACUGCAAGGCAGAAUCUGAUCCAUUCUGCAGAUAGAGUUUAUUGACGGAAAAGGCUAUACAGGAGCAAUAGCAGCCCACCAAACAAACCAAACCAAAACCCUCAAAAACCACCCCAAAAUACCAGAUCACUUGGGUUAUACUGGCAUAGAGUCACAUUACCUCCCAAAAUGCUGUGUAUCAUUUAUCACCACAGUAACUCGAUGACAUGAGGAAUUGCUGGUGGAAAUCAGAGAAGUGAUUAUGUGACCAUUACUAUGGAGGGAGUCUGUGGUAGAUCUGGGUACUGAAUGUAUCUCUUCAGACCUUGUUCAGGACCUUUUAUCACAAGCUCAUUUCUCAAGAAGGAGGGGGAAAAAAUAGCAUUGAAUCUCUAUUCAAAAUAUUUCACUGAACUUUUGGGAACAUUAUUAGAUUUCAAACAACUGAGAUAAGAAGAGAGUCAAGAAUGUUCAACACUGGAGAGUUAUCUGACACUUGGAUAUACAUAAAUGUUAUUUUUAAGAGAGGUAUCAAAGGGCAGAGAUCUUUAACACAAAGGGAAUUCUCCAGAGGUAAGGGGGAAAGAAAGAAAAAAGGUAACGUAUUUCCCAUAGAGAUGCCACACUGAAAAAAGACAAGUGCAAGGGGAAAAAAUAGAAAAAAAACAGUUCUAACAUUUUUCCCAAGAGCUUUCCACAGUACUUCAGGUUUAAAGCAGACAACAGCCUUUGUCUACUUCUCUACUGGAAAAAAAAAGUCAUCAGAAUAAUAAACAUGCUUCUCUAAUGACAAAAUGGGGAAAGUCCUCUUGAAAAACAGAAAAUGAGAACUGGAUGUCUCUGGCAGCUCCAUUUGUCCCCACUCAGGGGAUUCAUAUCUUCAGUUCAGCUUCACCACCGCGGGUGAGAGUACGGGAGAGCACUCUGGCACGGUCAGGGCGUACCGCAGUAUCUGCCAAGGCAAAGGUCUGCUUUCAGUCAACCCUAUCUGCACAGGAGCAAAAACACCCCUUUGCAUGGUAAGCAGAAUGAGCCUCAGGCGUGAGGGGUUGGAGGUACUUCAAGGCCACUCCUGAAAGGUCAUUAAGAGCAUCCUUCAGAG
ensembl:lncRNA